rnacentral:rRNA from 1 species
UGGGGAAUUUUGGACAAUGGGGGAAACCCUGAUCCAGCCAUCCCGCGUGUGCGAUGAAGGCCUUCGGGUUGUAAAGCACUUUUGGCAGGAAAGAAACGUCGCGGGUUAAUACCCCGCGAAACUGACGGUACCUGCAGAAUAAGCACCGGCUAACUACGUGCCAGCAGCCGCGGUAAUACGUAGGGUGCAAGCGUUAAUCGGAAUUACUGGGCGUAAAGCGUGCGCAGGCGGUUCGGAAAGAAAGAUGUGAAAUCCCAGAGCUUAACUUUGGAACUGCAUUUUUAACUACCGGGCUAGAGUGUGUCAGAGGGAGGUGGAAUUCCGCGUGUAGCAGUGAAAUGCGUAGAUAUGCGGAGGAACACCGAUGGCGAAGGUAGCCUCCUGGGAUAACACUGACGCUCAUGCACGAAAGCGUGGGGAGCAAACAGGAUUAGAUACCCUGGUAGUCCACGCCCUAAACGAUGUCAACUAGCUGUUGGGGCCUUCGGGCCUUGGUAGCGCAGCUAACGCGUGAAGUUGACCGCCUGGGGAGUACGGUCGCAAGA